GUGCUUGCUUUGGCAGCACAUAUACUAAAAUGGAAUGAUACAGAGAGGAUUAGCAUGGCUCCUGUGCAAGGAUGACAUUCAAAUUUGUGAAGUGGUCCAUUAUUUU